GACGAACGCUGGCGGCGUGCUUAACACAUGCAAGUCGAACGGAAAGGCCCUGCUUUUGUGGGGUGCUCGAGUGGCGAACGGGUGAGUAACACGUGAGUAUCCUGCCCUUGACUUUGGGAUAACUUCAGGAAACUGGGGCUAAUACCGGAUAGGAGCUCCUGCUGCAUGGGGGGGGAUGGUAAGUUUCGGCGGUUGGGGAUGGACUCGCGGCUUAUCAGCUUGGUGGGGGGGUAGUGGCUUACCAAGGCUUUGACGGGUAGCCGGCCUGGGAGGGUGACCGGCCACAAGAGUACUGAGAGACGGCCCAGACGCGUACGGGAUGCAGCAGUGGGGAAUAUUGCACAAUGGGCCGAAGCCUGAUGCAGCAACGCCGCGUGCGGGAUGACGGCCUUCGGGUUAUAAACCGCUUUCGCCUGUGACGAAGCGUGAGUGACGGUAAUGAGUAAAGAAGCACCGGCUAACUACGUG
rnacentral:rRNA from 1 species